GACGAACGCUGGCGGCGUGCUUAACACAUGCAAGUCGAACGGUGAAGCGCCUUCCUUUUUGGUGGGUGUGGAUGAGUGGCGAACGGGUGAGUAACACGUGAGUAACCUGCCCCCUUCUUCUGGAUAACCGCAUGAAAGUGUGGCUAAUACGGGAUAUUCUGGGUCUGUCGCAUGAUGGGUCUGGGAAAGAUAUUGUUUCGGUGGGGGAUGGGCUCGCGGCCUAUCAGCUUGUUGGUGGGGUGAUGGCUACCAAGGCGGUGACGGGUAGCCGGCCUGGGAGGGUGGACGGUCACACUGGGACUGAGACACGGCCCAGACUCCUACGGGAGGCAGCAGUGGGGAAUAUUGCACAAUGGGCGCAAGCCUGAUGCAGCGACGCCGCGUGAGGGAUGGAGGCCUUCGGGUUGUGAACCUCUUUCGCCAGUGAAGCAGGCCUGCCUCGUUUGUGGGUGGGUUGACGGUAGCUGGAUAAGAAGCGCCGGCUAACUACGUG
rnacentral:rRNA from 1 species